rnacentral:lncRNA from 1 species
GGCAGAGGAGGGAGCUAGGAGGUGAGACCCGCUCCACCCUGCUCGCCUAGGCUCGGCGGAGGCUAAGAGCAGGGCAGCCUCCUCUGCCCGGCGCCCGCUGAGCCCCGGCAUCUGGAACUCAGGGCCCUGGCGCUCCAGGGGCGGGAACUGGCCGGGAGGACCGCGCGGGAGAGCACGGAUGGGCACCCUGGGCUCGAUCUUCUCACCUGGGGCGGGUGGGUUCUGCACCACCCUCCCACCCUCCUUCCUCCGUGUGGACGAUAGAGCCACAUCCAGCACCACGGACAGCUCCCGGGCGCACUGGAAGCUGAGGGUUUUGACAGCGGCAGGCCACAUAGGCAAGGAAGCUGGUGCAUGCAGUGUCUCUGGGCAAGGUUAUGCAAACCAAAAAGAAGAAUGUACUUCAUCUGGUUGGGCUGGAUUCCCUCUGAUAAGCCUUCCCAGUUGACUGAAAGAUGAGGCUAGGCUCUAGCAAGUUGAAGUCAAACCAGCUCCUUCAAGAAGCUUUGAGCAGAAUGAAGUGGGGAGGACCCAGCUUCCAGCCCAGGAAGCCCACUGUACCUGGAGCCAUCUGGGAUAAGACUUUGACCCAUGACUCCCAUAUCCACAGCCUGUCCAUCCUAGCCCAUCCCAGUUUAUCCUGUAUCAUUUGAGCUGGGAUUCCCACAUCCUCUGAGUUGGAAGUCCCAUCUCAAGUCUUCAAUAAAGACUCUUGAAUAUUGAAUC